UACGGAGGGGGCUAGCGUUGUUCGGAAUUACUGGGCGUAAAGCGCGCGUAGGCGGCUUUGUAAGUUAGAGGUGAAAGCCCGGAGCUCAACUCCGGAAUUGCCUUUAAGACUGCAUCGCUAGAAUCAUGGAGAGGUGAGUGGAAUUCCGAGUGUAGAGGUGAAAAUUCGUAGAUAUUCGGAAGAACACCAGUGGCGAAGGCGACUCACUGGCUCGAUACUGACGCUGAGGUGCGAAAAGCGUGGGGGAGCAAACAGG
rnacentral:rRNA from 1 species